rnacentral:rRNA from 1 species
AUUGAACGCUGGCGGCAUGCUUUACACAUGCAAGUCGAACGGUAACAGGCCGCAAGGUGCUGACGAGUGGCGAACGGGUGAGUAAUGCAUCGGAACGUGCCCAGUCGUGGGGGAUAACGCAGCGGAAGCUGCGCUAAUACCGCAUACGAUCUAUGGAUGAAAGCGGGGGACCGUAAGGCCUCGCGCGAUUGGAGCGGCCGAUGUCAGAUUAGGUAGUUGGUGGGGUAAAGGCUCACCAAGCCAACGAUCUGUAGCUGGUCUGAGAGGACGACCAGCCACACUGGGACUGAGACACGGCCCAGACUCCUACGGGAGGCAGCAGUGGGGAAUUUUGGACAAUGGGCGCAAGCCUGAUCCAGCAAUGCCGCGUGCAGGAAGAAGGCCUUCGGGUUGUAAACUGCUUUUGUCAGGGAAGAAAAGCCUUGGGUUAAUACCCUGGGGUGAUGACGGUACCUGAAGAAUAAGCACCGGCUAACUACGUGCCAGCCGCCGCAGUAA